rnacentral:rRNA from 1 species
UACGUAGGUGGCGAGCGUUAUCCGGAUUUACUGGGUGUAAAGGGCGUGUAGGCGGGACUGCAAGUCAGGUGUGAAAACUAUGGGCUCAACCCAUAGCGUGCAUUUGAAACUGUGGUUCUUGAGUGAUGGAGAGGCAGGCGGAAUUCCGUGUGUAGCGGUGAAAUGCGUAGAGAUCAGGAGGAAUACCGAAGGCGAAGGCAGUCUUCCAAGCCGUUAUUGACGCUCAACUGCGAAGGUGUGGGUAUCAAACAGGAUUAGAUA